AAUGAACGUUGGCGGCAUGGAUUAGGCAUGCAAGUCGAGCGAGAAGAGUUUUGAAGCUUGCUUUAGAACUCGGACAGCGGCGAAGGGGAGAGUAACGCGUAGUUAUGUGCCCUAGGGUCCGGAAUAGCCACGGGAAACUGUGGGUAAUGCCGGAUAACAUCCCCGGAUCAAAGGGCUGAUUCCGCCCUAGGAGUAGCAUGCGUCGUACUAGGUAGUGGGUGGGGUAAUGGCCCACCAGGGCAAUGACGGGUAGCGGGUGUGAGAGGAUGACACGUCUCACUGGGCCUGAGACACUGCCCAGACACCGACGGGUGGCUGGAGUCGAGAAUCUUCGGCAAUGGGCGAAAGCCUGACCGAGCGAUGCCGCGUGCGGGAUGAAGGCCUUCGGGUUGUAAUCCGCUGUCGUAGGGGAGGAAGGUUCCGUGAAGAGCGGAAUUUGCCCUAUCCUAGGAGGAAGUACGGGCUAAGUUCGUGC
rnacentral:rRNA from 1 species